rnacentral:ncRNA from 1 species
AUAUAAGCUGUGAAGAGGACGGUAAUUUUUAGAAAGUAAGAGAACAGUUGGUUGGUGCAAAACUGCCUUUCAAAAUUUUACAGAUCACCUCGGAGCUCAAGAGUCAAAAGCUCUUGCGUAAUUUUGCGUUAAGAUAUUAAGUGAUAGUUUCCUAUAAUUAGGGUGGUACCGCGGUUAGUUCGUCCCUUCU